ACAUCCAGCGAACUUGGCAGAGAUGCCUUGGUGCCUUCGGGAACGCUGAGACAGGUGCUGCAUGGCUGUCGUCAGCUCGUGUUGUGAAAUGUUGGGUUAAGUCCCGNAACGAGCGCAACCCUUAUCCUUUGUUGCCAGCGAUUCGGUCGGGAACUCAAAGGAGACUGCCGGUGAUAAACCGGAGGAAGGUGGGGAUGACGUCAAGUCAUCAUGGCCCUUACGAGUAGGGCUACACACGUGCUACAAUGGCGCAUACAAAGAGAAGCGACCUCGCGAGAGCAAGCGGACCUCAUAAAGUGCGUCGUAGUCCGGAUCGGAGUCUGCAACUCGACUCCGUGAAGUCGGAAUCGCUAGUAAUCGUGGAUCAGAAUGCCCACGGUCCGAAUACGUUCCGGCCUUGUACACACCGCCCGUCACACCAUGGGAGUGGGUUGCAAAAGAAGUAGGUAGCUUAACCCUCGGGAGGGCGCUUACCACUUUGUGAUUCAUGACUGGGGUGAAGUCGUAACAAGGUAAGCGUAGCGAG
rnacentral:rRNA from 1 species